rnacentral:sRNA from 1 species
UCAUCGGAGAGGGCGCACACGCGCAGCACC